UGGGGAAUAUUGGACAAUGGGCGAAAGCCUGAUCCAGCCAUGCCGCGUGUGUGAAGAAGGUCUUCGGAUUGUAAAGCACUUUAAGUUGGGAGGAAGGGCAGUAAGCGAAUACCUUGCUGUUUUGACGUUACCGACAGAAUAAGCACCGGCUAACUCUGUGCCAGCAGCCGCGGUAAUACAGAGGGUGCAAGCGUUAAUCGGAAUUACUGGGCGUAAAGCGCGCGUAGGUGGUUCGUUAAGUUGAAUGUGAAAGACCCGGGCUCAACCUGGGAACUGCAUCCAAAGCUGGCGAGCUAGAGUAGGGCAGAGGGUGGUGGAAUUACCUGUGUAGCGGUGAAAUGCGUAGAUAUAGGAAGGAACAACAGUGGCGAAGGCGGCCACCUGGGCUCAUACUGACACUGAGGUGCGAAAGCGUGGGGAGCAAACAGG
rnacentral:rRNA from 1 species